ACACCGUUGGUGAAACGGUAUCAUGCACCGUUGCCAGGACUCAACUCCUCUGAUUCGGUGCGGCAAGGGUUCGACUCCCUUACGGUGUA
rfam:Cryptococcus bestiolae CBS 10118 unplaced genomic scaffold supercont1.3, whole genome shotgun sequence.